rnacentral:lncRNA from 1 species
GUCAGCUGCUAGACUCUUGUUUUCAGCUGCCAGAACCUGGGUAUCAGUCAGCUGAGUAGUAGAUGAGGCCUGGGUGGCAGGUGCCUCCCGAGCCUCUGGGACCUCCAGUGCCUUUGAGGCCUUCGGUGUCUCUGGGACCUCCACAUUCUGGGUCACUGUCAACAGAGUCUGCAUCAUCGAGCUACUGUCCUUUUCUGAAG